rnacentral:rRNA from 1 species
UACGAGGGGGGCGAGCGUUGUUCGGAAUUAUUGGGCGUAAAGGGUGCGUAGGCGGUUUUGUAAGUCUUAUGUGAAAUCUAUGGGCUCAACUCAUAGACUGCAUGAGAAACUGCAGGGCUUGAGUGUGGGAGAGGUGAGUGGAAUUCCCGGUGUAGCGGUGAAAUGCGUAGAUAUGUGGAGGAAUACCGAUGGCGAAGGCGGCUCUCUGGACCGGUACUGACGCUCUGGCGCGAAAGCGUGGGGAGCAAACAGG